UCACACCUACCGAUUGAAUGGUCCGAUGAAGCCUCGGGAUUGUGGCCAGUGCCUCUAUUGGUGUUGGCUGUGAGAACUUGUCUAAACCUUAUCAUUUAGAGGAAGGUG
rnacentral:rRNA from 1 species